UACGGAGGGUGCGAGCGUUACCCGGAUUUACUGGGUGUAAAGGGCGUGUAGGCGGUCUUUCAAGUCCGAUGCUAAAGACCGGGGCUCCACCCCGGGGGUGCGUUGGAUACUGCAAGGCUAGACGGUCGGAGGGGGUAGUGGAAUUUCCGGAGUAGCGGUGAAAUGCGCAGAUACCGGAAGGAACGCCGAUAGCGAAGGCAGCUACCUGGACGAUUGGUGCCGCUGAGGCGCGAAAGCGUGGGGAGCAAACCGG
rnacentral:rRNA from 1 species